GCGAACGCUGGCGGCGUGCUUAACACAUGCCAGUCGAACGGAAAGGCCCUGCUUUUGUGGGGUGCUCGAGUGGCGAACGGGUGAGUAACACGUGAGUAACCUGCCCUUGACUUUGGGAUAACUUCAGGAAACUGGGGCUAAUACCGGAUAGGAGCUCCUGCUGCAUGGUGGGGGUUGGAAAGUUUCGGCGGUUGGGGAUGGACUCGCGGCUUAUCAGCUUGUUGGUGGGGUAGUGGCUUACCAAGGCUUUGACGGGUAGCCGGCCUGAGAGGGUGACCGGCCACAUUGGGACUGAGAUACGGCCCAGACUCCUACGGGAGGCAGCAGUGGGGAAUAUUGCACAAUGGGCGGAAGCCUGAUGCAGCAACGCCGCGUGCGGGAUGACGGCCUUCGGGUUGUAAACCGCUUUCGCCUGUGACGAAGCGUGAGUGACGGUAAUGGGUAAAGAAGCACCGGCUAACUACGUG
rnacentral:rRNA from 1 species